AUUCUAAUUUAGUAUUUAGAAGUUUAUUUGGCUGGAAGUCAGGGAAGUGAGGUAAGAAUCCUCCGCUGCCCCGCAGCCGUGAAGGGAACGAAAGCCUGAGAGAGGCCACUACCCCGAUAUUUCGGGAUGGGAAGGCAGGCAAGUAGGUUGAAGAUAGCCCUGAGCCGGAAGACCUAUCCAGACCAAGACAUUUAU
rnacentral:ncRNA from 2 species